rnacentral:rRNA from 1 species
GACGAACGCUGGCGGCGUGCUUAACACAUGCAAGUCGAACGGAAAGGCCCUGCUUUUGUGGGGUGCUCGAGUGGCGAACGGGUGAGUAACACGUGAGUAACCUGCCCUUGACUUUGGGAUAACUUCAGGAAACUGGGGCUAAUACCGGAUAGGACCUCCUGCUGCAUGGUGGUGGUUGGAAAGUUUCGGCGGUUGGGGAUGGACUCGCGGCUUAUCAGCUUGUUGGUGGGGUAGUGGUUUACCAAGGCUUUGACGUGUCGCCGGCCUGAGAGGGUGCCCGGCCACGUGGGGACUGAGAUACGGCCCAGACUCCUACGGGAGGCAGGAGUGGGGAAUAGUGCACAAUGGGCGGACGCCUGAUGCAGCAACGCCGCGUGCGGGAUGACGGCCUUCGGGUUGUAAACCGCUUUCGCCUGUGACGAAGCGUGAGUGACGGUAAUGGGUAAAGAAGCACCGGCUAACUACGUG